AGCAGCCGCGGUAAUUCCAGCUCCAAUAGCGUAUAUUAAAGUUGUUGCAGUUAAAAAGCUCGUAGUUGAAUUUCGGGGUCAAUACGUCGGUCGUGCCUUCGGUACGUACUGGUGUUAUUGAUCUCUCCCUUCUGAUGAAUCAUGAUGUCAUUAAUUUGGUGUCGUGGGGAGUCAGGACUGUUACUUUGAAAAAAUUAGAGUGUUUAAAGCAGGCUCACGCUUGAAUACAUUAGCAUGGAAUAAUGAAAUAGGACGUUCGACCCUAUUUUGUUGGUUUCUAGGAUCAACGUAAUGAUUAAUAGGGAUAGUUGGGGGCAUUAGUAUUCAAUUGUCAGAGGUGAAAUUCUUGGAUUUAUUGAAGACUAACUACUGCGAAAGCAUUUGCCAAGGAUGUUUUCAUUAAUCAAAGAACGAAAGUUAAGGGGAUCGAAGACGAUCAGAUACCGUCGU
rnacentral:rRNA from 1 species